rnacentral:rRNA from 1 species
GAGUUUGAUCCUGGCUCAGGAUGAAUGCUGGCGGCGUGCCUAACACAUGCAAGUCGAGCGGCAGCGGACCUUCGGGUGCCGGCGAGCGGCGGACGGCUGAGUAACGCGUGGGAACAUACCCCAAAGUGAGGGAUAACCGCCCGAAAGGGUGGCUAAUACCGCAUAUGGUCUUCGGAUUAAAGGAUUUAUCCGCUUUGGGAAUGGCCUGCGUAUGAUUAGAUAGUUGGUGAGGUAAUGGCUCACCAAGUCGACGAUCAUUAACUGGUCUGAGAGGAUGAUCAGUCAGACUGGAACUGAGACACGGUCCAGACUCCUACGGGAGGCAGCAGUGAGGAAUCUUCCACAAUGGGCGAAAGCCUGAUGGAGCAACGCCGCGUGCAGGAUGAAGGCCUUCGGGUCGUAAACUGCUUUUAUAAGUGAAGAAUAUGACGGUAACUUAUGAAUAAGCACCGGCUAACUACGUGCCAGCAGCCGCGGUCAUACGUAGGGUGCAAGCAUUAUCCGGAGUGACUGGGCGUAAAGAGUUGCGUAGGUGGUUUUAUAAGCGAAUAGUGAAAUCUGGUGGCUCAACCAUACAGACUAUUAUUCGAACUGUAAAACUCGAGAGUAGCAGAGGUAACUGGAAUUUCUAGUGUAGGAGUGAAAUCCGUAGAUAUUAGAAGGAACACCAAUGGCGUAGGCAGGUUACUGGGCUAUUUCUGACACUAAGCACGAAAGCGUGGGGAGCGAACCGGAUUAGAUACCCGGGUAGUCCACGCUGUAAACGAUGGAUACUAGCUGUCGGGGGUAUCGACCCCUUCGGUAGCGAAGCUAACGCGUUUAAGUAUCC